UACGGAGGGAGCUAGCGUUGUUCGGAAUUACUGGGCGUAAAGCGCGCGUAGGCGGUUACUCAAGUCAGAGGUGAAAGCCCGGGGCUCAACCCCGGAACUGCCUUUGAAACUAGGUAACUAGAAUCUUGGAGAGGUCAGUGGAAUUCCGAGUGUAGAGGUGAAAUUCGUAGAUAUUCGGAAGAACACCAGUGGCGAAGGCGACUGACUGGACAAGUAUUGACGCUGAGGUGCGAAAGCGUGGGGAGCAAACAGG
rnacentral:rRNA from 1 species